rnacentral:rRNA from 1 species
UACGUAGGGGGCAAGCGUUGUUCGGAUUCAUUGGGCGUAAAGGGUGCGUAGGUGGCGCCGUAAGUCAGGUGUGAAAUCUCGGGGCUCAACCCCGAGACUGCACUUGAUACUGCGGUGCUCGAGUACUGGAGAGGAGAUUGGAAUUUACGGUGUAGCAGUGAAAUGCGUAGAUAUCGUAAGGAAGACCAGUGGCGAAGGCGAAUCUCUGGACAGUUACUGACACUGAGGCACGAAGGCCAGGGGAGCAAACGGG